rnacentral:rRNA from 1 species
UACGGGGGGAGCAAGCGUUGUUCGGAUUUACUGGGCGUAAAGGGCGCGUAGGCGGCGCGGUAAGUCGGGUGUGAAAUCUUGGAGCUUAACUCCGAAACUGCAUUCGAUACUGCCGUGCUUGAGGACUGGAGAGGAGACUGGAAUUUACGGUGUAGCGGUGAAAUGCGUAGAUAUCGUAAGGAAGACCAGUGGCGAAGGCGGGUCUCUGGGCAUUAACUGACGCUGAGGAGCGAAAGCAUGGGGAGCGAACAGG